rnacentral:rRNA from 1 species
UACGUAGGGGGCAAGCGUUGUCCGGAAUCAUUGGGCGUAAAGAGCGUGUAGGCGGCCCGGUAAGUCCGCUGUGAAAGUCCAGGGCUCAACCCUGGGAUGCCGGUGGAUACUGUCGGGCUCGAGUCCGGAAGAGGAGUGUGGAAUUCCUGGUGUAGCGGUGAAAUGCGCAGAUAUCAGGAGGAACACCAAUGGCGAAGGCAGCUUACUAAGGAGUAACUGACGCUGAGGCACGAAAGUGUGGGGAUCAAACAGG